UGGGGAAUAUUGGACAAUGGGCGAAAGCCUGAUCCAGCAACGCCGCGUGAGGGAUGACGGCCUUCGGGUUGUAAACCUCUUUCAGCUCCGACGAAGCGCAAGUGACGGUAGGAGCAGAAGAAGCACCGGCCAACUACGUGCCAGCAGCCGCGGUAAUACGUAGGGUGCGAGCGUUGUCCGGAAUUAUUGGGCGUAAAGGGCUCGUAGGCGGUCCAUUGCGUCGGGAGUGAAAAGCUGGGGCUCAACCCCAGUCCUGCUUCCGAUACGGGUGGACUAGAGGUAGGCAGGGGAGAACGGAAUUCCUGGUGUAGCGGUGAAAUGCGCAGAUAUCAGGAGGAACACCGGUGGCGAAGGCGGUUCUCUGGGCCUUACCUGACGCUGAGGAGCGAAAGCGUGGGGAGCAAACA
rnacentral:rRNA from 1 species